GUAGUCCCGCACAGAUGCAUAUCAAUAAGCGGAGGAAAAGAAACUAACAAGGAUUCCCCUAGUAACGGCGAGUGAAGCGGGAAGAGCUCAAAUUUGAAAUCUUAAAGGGUUUCCCUUUACGAAUUGUAGUUUAAAGAAGUGUUUUCUGUUGAGGUUUUGGUAAAAGUUCUUUGGAAUAGGACAUCAUAGAGGGUGAGAAUCCCGUAUUUGACCUUUACUUUCAACUUUGUGAUACACUUUCAAAGAGUCGGAUUGUUUGGGAAUGCAGUCCAAAAUGGGUGGUAAAUUUCAUCUAAAGCUAAAUAUUGGCGAGAGACCGAUAGCGAACAAGUACCGUGAGGGAAAGAUGAAAAGAACUUUGAAAAGAGAGUUAAACAGUACGUGAAAUUGUCAAAAGGGAAGCGUUUGACACCAGUGUUGUUUUUCUGAAAAUCAAUUAAAGAACUGUUUAUGCUAAGCUGUUUAGACUUUAUCAGCUAUCUGUUUAGUUUUGAGCUUUUCUUUAAUGCACUUUUCAGUUAACAAGUCAACAUCAAUUUCUUUUGCUGUAAAAAAGCUUGAGGAAGGUGGCUUGAGAUUCGUCUUAAGUGUUUAUAGCCUCUUGCCUAUGCAGUCGGAGAGAUUGAGGUCUGCAGCGUAGAUCCUUCGGGGCUAAAUGCAUUUGUGCUAAGUUAUAGCAUUUUAUAGACAACUUGUUGACUAUGAUUUGUCUUGUAGCUUACUCGCUUAUGUUAUUUUACCUACGCUUAGGAUGUUGAGUAGCGACAUACGCAC
rnacentral:rRNA from 1 species